UACGUAGGGUGCGAGCAUUAAUCGGAUUUAUUGGGCGUAAAGGGCGCGUAGGCGGGGAUGAAAGUCAGAUGUGAAAUCCCGGGGAUCAACUCCGGAACAGCAUUUGAAACUCCAUCUCUUGAGGGUAGGCGGAGAAAAUGGAAUUCCACAAGUAGCGGUGAAAUGCGUAGAUAUGUGGAAGAACACCAGUGGCGAAGGCGGUUUUCUAGCUUAUACCUGACGCUAAGGCGCGAAAGCAAGGGGAUCAAACAGG
rnacentral:rRNA from 1 species